rnacentral:rRNA from 1 species
GACGAACGCUGGCGGCGUGCUUAACACAUGCAAGUCGAACGGAAAGGCCCUGCUUUUGUGGGGUGCUCGAGUGGCGAACGGGUGAGUAGCACGUGAGUAACCUGCCCUUGACUUUGGGAUAACUUCAGGAAACUGGGGCUAAUACCGGAUAGGAGCUCCUGCUGCAUGGUGGGGGUUGGAAAGUUUCGGCGGUUGGGGAUGGACUCGCGGCUUAUCAGCUUGUUGGUGGGGUAGUGGCUUACCAAGGCUUUGACGGGUAGCCGGCCUGAGAGGGCGACCGGCCACAUUGGGACUGAGAUACGGCCCAGACUCCUACGGGAGGCAGCAGUGGGGAAUAUUGCACAAUGGGCGGAAGCCUGAUGCAGCAACGCCGCGUGCGGGAUGACGGCCUUCGGGUUGUAAACCGCUUUCGCCUGUGACGAAGCGUGAGUGACGGUAAUGGGUAAAGAAGCACCGGCUAACUACGUG